UAUGAAGUCGUGAUUAGAACAAGUAAUUAAUUAACUGUCUAAAGAGAAGCUUACGGGGCUGAGAAGAGCUGGCAAUAAUUAAUGAACACACAUCUAUGAACUUAUUGAUUGAAUGAAGUAAAUCAAUACGCAGCAUCUGCGUUAUCAAGGUUGCUGACAACUGUUCUCCUUUUUUAGGAUGACUAGUGGUCAGUCAACGUGAGGUUUGCAUCGUGAGGUGUAGACAAAUUGAGGUGGUACCGCGAUUAUAUUCGUCCUCGAG
rnacentral:ncRNA from 1 species